AUGAACGCUGGCGGCGUGCCUCAUACCUGCAAGUCGAGCGAACAGACGAGGAGCUUGCUCCUCUGACGUUAGCGGCGGACGGGUGAGUAACACGUGGAUAACCUACCUAUAAGACUGGGAUAACUUCGGGAAACCGGAGCUAAUACCGGAUAAUAUAUUGAACCGCAUGGUUCAAUAGUGAAAGACGGUUUUGCUGUCACUUAUAGAUGGAUCCGCGCCGCAUUAGCUAGUUGGUAAGGUAACGGCUUACCAAGGCAACGAUGCGUAGCCGACCUGAGAGGGUGAUCGGCCACACUGGAACUGAGACACGGUCCAGACUCCUACGGGAGGCAGCAGUAGGGAAUCUUCCGCAAUGGGCGAAAGCCUGACGGAGCAACGCCGCGUGAGUGAUGAAGGUCUUCGGAUCAUAAAACUCUGUUAUUAGGGAAGAACAAAUGUGUAAGUAACUAUGCACGUCUUGACGGUACCUAAUCAGAAAGCCACGGCUAACUACGUG
rnacentral:rRNA from 1 species